UAUUUACAGAAAAAAAUCUUGAAAGUAACACAAAGGCUUCCUAUAAGCUAUGCACUCAGUUAUCCCUAUUUUUAAUAGCUGACAUUAGUAUGGUAAGUCUGCCACAAUUAAUGAAUCAGUAUUAAUAGUUUAAUGUUAACUAAAGUCUGUGCUUUAUUCGGAUGUCUUUGGAUUUUCCCCUAAUGUCCUUUUUCUGUUCCAGGAUCCCAUCCAGGACACCACAUUACAUUUACUCAAUUUACUCAUCAUGUGACCUCGGACCAUUCUUGACUGUGACAUUUUGUAGCAUCCUUUUUAAUCCUGGGCUCCUAAGUUGACAGGCAUCAGGGCAUGUCGUUGGUUCCAGUUGUCUUUUGUAAUACACGCUUUGUCUACCUGGAGCUGGAGAGAAUGAGAACAAUAACACUGAGAAGAGAAAUAGAGUGGGUCUCACUCAUAGGUAAAAGUGGUGUGGCCAAGAAUGGAAUUGAGAACACUGCCUCCAAUAAGACAAAACUAAAUAAGCCAAAUGGUGGAAUUUCAAGGCCUAUACACCGUGUCUGGGUUUCACGGGUGUUCAAAACAAGGUACAGUGUAAUGCAGGGAACUUGAAAAGCAGAGCGUUUGACCUCAGCAUCCUGAAAUCAGGUGUGAGAAGAAGAAAACAAGACACCUUGUAAUUAAGACAGAUCCAAGACCAGAUUAAUAAUAAAUAUGGCAGGAAACAUUGGGAAGUGUCACUCUAGAGGCCGAGCCAUGGAUUUUAAUAUGUAUCCUUUCAAUUAGCCGUUGACUCUGUGGACAUCCUUUCAUGCUUAAUGGAAGCAGCCUAUGUUAAAAUUCAAAUAAAAUCUCAAAUUUAAAAUCAUUUCUCAUUUUCACUCUGCAUUUAUUAUAGCAGCCUCUUUGAAGUCACUGUCCUUCUUCUUCUUCUUUUUUUUUUUUUUCCCAGACAGAUUCUUGCUCUGUUGUCCAGGCUGGAGUGCAGUGGCACGAUCUCAGCUCACUGCAACCUCCGCCUCCCCGGUUCAAGCAAUUCUCCUGCCUCAGCCUCCUGAGUAGCUGGGAUUACAGGCACCCGCCACCACACCUGGCUAAUUUUUGUAUUUUUAGUAGAGACGGGGUUUCACCAUGUUGGUCAGGCUGGUCUCAAACUCCUGACCUCAGGCGAUCCGCUCACCUCGGCCUCCCAAAGUGCUGGGAUUUCAGGCAUGAGCCACGGAGCCCGGCCUGAAGUCACUUUCUAUCUGAUAAUUUAUCAUUCAUUUUCUUUUAACAUAUAUUAAUUGGCCAUUGACUCUAUGGACAUUCUGCUCAAUGGAGAAGUCCAAAGGGAUAUCAAAUAUCCUUGAACUUUUCACCAAUUUGCAGGACAGCGGAGGAUACAAGUCAAA
rnacentral:lncRNA from 1 species